AAUCUCAAUGGUUGGUUGCAUUAUGAACAAAAGCCCUUGGUUAUUACCACUGUACAUUGGUCUCUUCUUGUGUGUUUCGGGGCAUGAGUUUUGUCAAAUUGGACCCUUAAAAUUUUGACAGAUGCUACUACAUUCAUCGAAAGAAAAUUAAAAAGUUUCACCCUUGUGAAAUCCUAUAGGAAUUGGAACAAGUUUGCCACUCCAAAUCUUAUGAGAACAACAAUGUUGAUCCAGAUCCUGAUUACGUUUCUACAACUCUUGAAUAUACACUAUUUUUUGUUCAUGAAAGUAACACAUUUGAUCAGAAUCCUUUCUUUCCGGAUAAAAGAAUGGCCAUUUGGCUUGUUCAUAUCGCUGACAAUGAAGCUAACAUAUGAAUAAACUGAGCUAGUAAACUCUCAACCUUUGAAGUUUUAAAAACUGACCGAGUCUAAAUUAUUAACACUUUUGCUGGAAAUGAGAGAAAAAUUUUCGAGGAUUUCCAGUACUCUUACAUUAGUAAUUUAUGUAGGGGUUAUCUCAAAAAAUUGAACAUCGGUCCCUCAUUGGCUUGUGUUUUUGAUCAUGCUGCUGAAGACUCAGAUUUGGAUGGAAAGUUGGGAAAAACUAACUUGGUCCAAAGGACGAUCAUUUUCCAGAGCUUUAAGAUGGUCCCAAGGGCUACAUAUUUAUUCAUCCACUUGCUAUCUACAUUCUACAUAUUUAUCAACUUGUAUUGACACACACCAUUCUCAAAUUCGAGCUCGGUCAAUCCAUUAUAAAUCUAUCUAUUAGGAUGAUUCAGGUCAUCUGUUAACAAGUCUUUAGCAACGUUUCAGUGCUUGAGUCAUGUUUUGCACUUUGACAAAUUCUGGUCAGACUACUGAAAUGUAGCAUUUAACUUCCAAUUCUUGGUCACCAUAUCAACGCUGGAAUUAGCAAAUACAGCAUUCAGCUUCGCCUAUCAAUUGGUCUACAACAAUUAUUCAAGAAGAGGAAGAAGAAACAUCAUAAUGUAAAAAAUUAAUAUGUAAAUUGUAACAAUCAAUCUACCUAAUAUUAACUAUGUUUUGGAAAUUAGGGAUGAUCAAAGUUUUUGUGGUCUUUCUGGCCAAGAUAAAAGAAGGGCUAAGUCAAUUUCAAUGCAUAUAUCUAUCUAUCACUAGACUUGCCUUAAUUGAUUCGAAUUUUUCAAGUUCUAAAUCAGUCGUAAAAUGCUAAGACUUGACGGGAGAGAAACCUGAGACUUGUAUUGUGCUGUGGCUAUCUCACAAUGAUUGAGGGAUUCUUCAAAAUCACGUCUGGUCACAUACUUAUAUGGGACAUUGAUCAUCUGGACCCUCCAAGAAGCAUUAAAGAAAACCAGGCUGCAGAAUUUUGGAUGGAAACUUGUAGCUUGAUUGGUUCUUGAUGAUUUUGAAUUGUCAACUAAUCUCGCCUCCUUUUCUCUCUUCUCUCUCUCUCUUUUAUUUAUUUAUUUUUUUUGGGGUCCUAUACUAUAAAGAAUUAUAACAUCCUACGACAUCCCACAAGGGACUUGAUAGUUUCACGCAACCUAUUUCUAUUGAGGGAACAACUAACUAAUUAACAAUCACUUAUGAAG
rnacentral:lncRNA from 1 species